rnacentral:rRNA from 1 species
UACGUAGGUGGCAAGCGUUACUCGGAAUCACUAGGCGUAAAGCGCAGGUAGGCGGUUCGGUAAGUCUCUUGUGAAAGCUCCCGGCUCAACUGGGAGAGGUCAAGGGAAACUACCGGGCUAGAGUGUGGCAGAGGAAGCUGGAAUUCCCGGUGUAGCGGUGAAAUGCGUAGAGAUCGGGAGGAAUACCUAUGGCGAAAGCAGGCUUCUGGGCCGUCACUGACGCUGAGCUGCGAAAGCUAGGGGAGCAGACAGG